rnacentral:misc_RNA from 1 species
GAUGAAGAACGUAGCGAAAGUGCGAAACGUAAUGUGAAUUGCAGAAUUCAGUGAAUCAUCGAAUCUUUGAACGCACAUUGCGCCCGCCAGUAUUCUGGCGGGCAUGCCUGUUCGAGCGUCAUUACAACCCUCAGGCCCCCGGGCCUGGCGUUGGGGAUCGGCGGAGCCCCCCGUGGGCACACGCCGUCCCCCAAAUGCAGUGGCGGUCCCGCCGCAGCUUCCAUCGCGUAGUAGCUAACACCUCGCGACUGGAGAGCGGCGCGGCCACGCCGUAAAACACCCAAUUCUUCUGAAGUUGACCUCGAAUCAGGUAGGAAUACCCGCUGAACUUAAGCAUAUCAAUAAGCGGAGGA